rnacentral:rRNA from 1 species
AACUUAAAGGAAGUUGACGGGACCCGCACAAGCAGCGGAGCGUGUGGUUUAAUUCGUUGCUACACGAAGAACCUUACCUAGGUUUGACAUAUAGGUUGUAGGGAACUGAAAAGGGACCGACCCUUCGGGGAGCCUAUACAGGUGUUGCAUGGCUGUCGUCAGCUCGUGUCGUGAGAUGUUCGGUUAAGUCCGCUAACGAGCGCAACCCUCGUCGUAUGUUACAAGUGUCAUACGAGACUGCCGGUAAAAAGUCGGAGGAAGGUGAGGAUGAUGUCAAGUCAGCAUGACCUUUAUAUCUAGGGCUACACACACGCUACAAUGGUCUGUACAAUGGGUUGCCAAGCCGCGAGGCGGAGCCAAUCCUAAAAAGCAGGCCUCAGUUCAGAUUGCAGUCUGCAACCCGACUGCAUGAAGCCGGAGUUGCUAGUAACCGCAGGUCAGCAAUACUGCGGUGAAUACGUUCCCGGGUCUU